AGAUUGAACGCUGGCGGCAUGCCUAACACAUGCAAGUCGAACGGGAGUAGCAAUACUCUAGUGGCGGACGGGUGAGGAAUACGUAGGAAUUUGCCCUUAAGUGGGGAUAACCCGGGGAAACCCGGAUUAAUACCGCAUGACCUCGAAAGAGCAAAGUGGGGGAUCGCAAGACCUCACGCUUUUGGAGAAGCCUACGUCGGAUUAGCUAGUUGGUGAGGUAAUGGCUCACCAAGGCGACGAUCCGUAACUGGUCUGAGAGGAUGAUCAGUCACACCGGAACUGAGACACGGUCCGACUCCGUACGGGAGGCAGCAGUGGGGAAUAUUGGACAAUGGGCGCAAGCCUGAUCCAGCAAU
rnacentral:rRNA from 1 species